AAAUUGAAGAGUUUGAUCAUGGCUCAGAUUGAACGCUGGCGGCAGGCCUAACACAUGCAAGUCGAACGGUAACAGGAAACAGCUUGCUGUUUCGCUGACGAGUGGCGGACGGGUGAGUAAUGUCUGGGAAACUGCCUGAUGGAGGGGGAUAACUACUGGAAACGGUAGCUAAUA
rnacentral:rRNA from 2 species